rnacentral:rRNA from 1 species
GACGAACGCUGGCGGCGUGCUUAACACAUGCAAGUCGAACGAAAAGGCGCGGCUUUUGUGGGGUGCUCGAGUGGCGAACGGGGGAGUAACACGUGAGUAACCUGCCCUUGACUUUGGGAUAACUUCAGGAAACUGGGGCGAAUACCGGGGAGGAUCUCCUGCUGCAUGUGGGUGGUUGGAAAGAUUCGGCGGUGGGGGAUGUACUCGCGGCUUAUCAGCUGGUUGGUGUGGUAGUGGCGUACCAGGGCUUUGACGGGUAGCCGGCCUUAGAGGGUUACCGGCCACCUUGGGACUGCGAUACGGACCAGAAUCCUACGGGCGGCAGCAGGGGGGAAUAUUGCACAAUGGGCGGAAGCCUGAUGCAGCAAUGCUGCGAGCGGGAUGAUGGCCUUCGGGUUGUAAACAGAUUUCGACUGUGCCGAAGAGUGAGUGACGGUAAUGGGUAAGGAAGCCACGGCUAACUACGUG